UAGCAUAAUCAUUAGUUUUUUAAUUGGAAACUUGUAUGAAUGGUUGGACAAAGAAGAAGCUGUCUCUUGUUAUUAAUAUUGAACUUAACUUUUAAGUGAAAAGGCUUAAAUAUUCUAGAGGGACGAUAAGACCCUAUAAAGCUUUAUAAACUUAUAAAUUUUAUAUGUUUUUUUAUAAAAAUAAUCUUUCGAAGGUUUAUUUAGUUGGGGCGACAAUGAUAUAAAUAAUAUAACUGUCAUAAAAUAUAACAAAUAUAUUUGUUUAAUAAGGAAUAAUUGAUCCUUUAUAAGGAUUUUAAGAUCAAGUUACUUUAGGGAUAACAGCGUUAUUUUUCUUGAGAGUUCUUAUCAAAGGAAAAGUUUGCGACCAC
rnacentral:rRNA from 1 species